GCUCCAUGUCCUUUAUUUAAGAGAGAACAAGUAAAGCUACUGUAGUCAACUUUUUCUGUGUUGCUUAGGACAUCACAUGAAAAAACAUUAUGCAGCUGAGGUACUCAUUUACAUGGGAAGAAAAAUCAAAUAAGCAGGUUACUUCUGGACAUUAAAAUAGGAAACCUGACCCAAUUCAAACAGCAAAGCUUCUACUUACUGCACCAGAGCUCUUCUGAGCUGGAGUGGCUGACACUCCCUGUGACAAGGGGAGGGCUGAAGGGACAGAGCCAGCUCCAAAUGAGCCAGUUCAUCUC